rnacentral:rRNA from 1 species
UGGGGAAUUUUGGACAAUGGGCGAAAGCCUGAUCCAGCAAUGCCGCGUGUGUGAAGAAGGCCUUCGGGUUGUAAAGCACUUUUGUCCGGAAAGAAAUCCUUGGCUCUAAUACAGUCGGGGGAUGACGGUACCGGAAGAAUAAGCACCGGCUAACUACGUGCCAGCAGCCGCGGUAAUACGUAGGGUGCAAGCGUUAAUCGGAAUUACUGGGCGUAAAGCGUGCGCAGGCGGUUUGCUAAGACCGAUGUGAAAUCCCCGGGCUCAACCUGGGAACUGCAUUGGUGACUGGCAGGCUAGAGUAUGGCAGAGGGGGGUAGAAUUCCACGUGUAGCAGUGAAAUGCGUAGAGAUGUGGAGGAAUACCGAUGGCGAAGGCAGCCCCCUGGGCCAAUACUGACGCUCAUGCACGAAAGCGUGGGGAGCAAACAGGAUUAGAUACCCUGGUAGUCCACGCCCUAAACGAUGUCAACUAGUUGUUGGGGAUUCAUUUCCUUAGUAACGUAGCUAACGCGUGAAGUUGACCGCCUGGGGGAGUACGGUCGCAAGAUUAAAACUUAAAUG